rnacentral:rRNA from 1 species
UACGUAGGCAGCGAGCGUUGUUCGGAGUUACUGGGCGUAAAGGGUGUGUAGGCGGUUGUUUUAAGUUUGGUGUGAAAUCUCCCGGCUUAACUGGGAGGGUGCGCCGAAUACUGAAUGACUUCGAGUGCGGGAGAGGAGAGUGGAAUUCCUGGUGUAGCGGUGAAAUGCGUAGAUAUCUGGAGGAACACCGGUGGCGAAGGCGGCAUCCUGGACCAAUAUUGACGCUGAGGAGCGAAAGCCAGGGGAGCAAACGGG